rnacentral:rRNA from 1 species
GAUGAACGCUGGCGGCGUGCCUAAUACAUGCAAGUCGAGCGAACGGACGAGAAGCUUGCUUCUCUGAUGUUAGCGGCGGACGGGUGAGUAACACGUGGAUAACCUACCUAUAAGACUGGGAUAACUUCGGGAAACCGGAGCUAAUACCGAAUGAUAUUUUGAACCGCAUGGUUCAAAAGUGAAAGACGGUCUUGCUGUCACUUAUAGAUGGAUCCGCGCUGCAUUAGCUAGUUGGUAAGGUAACGGCUUACCAAGGCAACGAUGCAUAGCCGACCUGAGAGGGUGAUCGGCCACACUGGAACUGAGACACGGUCCAGACUCCUACGGGAGGCAGCAGUAGGGAAUCUUCCGCAAUGGGCGAAAGCCUGACGGAGCAACGCCGCGUGAGUGAUGAAGGUCUUCGGAUCGUNAAACUCUGUUAUUAGGGAAGAACAUAUGUGUAAGUAACUGUGCACAUCUUGACGGUACCUAAUCAGAAAGCCACGGCUAACUACGUGCCAGCAGCCGCGGUAAUACGUAGGUGGCAAGCGUUAUCCGGAAUUAUUGGGCGUAAAGCGCGCGUAGGCGGUUUUUUAAGUCUGAUGUGAAAGCCCACGGCUCAACCGUGGAGGGUCAUUGGAAACUGGAAAACUUGAGUGCAGAAGAGGAAAGUGGAAUUCCAUGUGUAGCGGUGAAAUGCGCAGAGAUAUGGAGGAACACCAGUGGCGAAGGCGACUUUCUGGUCUGUAACUGACGCUGAUGUGCGAAAGCGUGGGGAUCAAACAGGAUUAGAUACCCUGGUAGUCCACGCCGUAAACGAUGAGUGCUAAGUGUUAGGGGGUUUCCGCCCCUUAGUGCUGCAGCUAACGCAUUAAGCACUCCGCCUGGGGAGUACGACCGCAAGGUUGAAACUCAAAGGAAUUGACGGGGACCCACACAAGCGGUGGAGCAUGUGGUUUAAUUCGAAGCAACGCGAAGAACCUUACCAAAUCUUGACAUCCUUUGACAACUCUAGAGAUAGAGCCUUCCCCUUCGGGGGACAAAGUGACAGGUGGUGCAUGGUUGUCGUCAGCUCGUGUCGUGAGAUGUUGGGUUAAGUCCCGCAACGAGCGCAACCCUUAAGCUUAGUUGCCAUCAUUAAGUUGGGCACUCUAAGUUGACUGCCGGUGACAAACCGGAGGAAGGUGGGGAUGACGUCAAAUCAUCAUGCCCCUUAUGAUUUGGGCUACACACGUGCUACAAUGGACAAUACAAAGGGCAGCGAAACCGCGAGGUCAAGCAAAUCCCAUAAAGUUGUUCUCAGUUCGGAUUGUAGUCUGCAACUCGACUACAUGAAGCUGGAAUCGCUAGUAAUCGUAGAUCAGCAUGCUACGGUGAAUACGUUCCCGGGUCU